GGCAUUGACUUCGCUCUAUACCCUUUGUGACAUACCUAUAACUGUUGCUUCGGCGGGUAGGGUCUCCGUGACCCUCCCGGCCUCCCGCCCCCGGGCGGGUCGGCGCCCGCCGGAGGAUAACCAAACUCUGAUUUAACGACGUUUCUUCUGAGUGGUACAAGCAAAUAAUCAAAACUUUUAACAACGGAUCUCUUGGUUCUGGCAUCGAUGAAGAACGCAGCGAAAUGCGAUAAGUAAUGUGAAUUGCAGAAUUCAGUGAAUCAUCGAAUCUUUGAACGCACAUUGCGCCCGCCAGCAUUCUGGCGGGCAUGCCUGUUCGAGCGUCAUUUCAACCCUCAAGCUCUGCUUGGUGUUGGGGCCCUACAGCUGAUGUAGGCCCUCAAAGGUAGUGGCGGACCCUCCCGGAGCCUCCUUUGCGUAGUAACUUUACGUCUCGCACUGGGAUCCGGAGGGACUCUUGCCGUAAAACCCCCAAUUUUCCAAAGGUUGACCUCGGAUCAGGUAGGAAUACCCGCUGAACUUAAGCAUAUCAAUAAGCGGAGAAA
rnacentral:rRNA from 1 species